UCCGUAGGCGGGUAAUUAAGUCAGUAGUGAAAUCCCACAGCUUAACUGUGGAACUGUUAUUGAUACUGGUUUUCUUGAAUAUAGUUGAGGUAGGCGGAAUGUGUAAUGUAGCGGUGAAAUGCUUAGAUAUUACACAGAACACCGAUUGCGAAGGCAGCUUACUAAGCUAUGAUUGACGCUGAGGUACGAAGGCGUGGGGAGCGAACAGGAUUAGAUACCCUGGUAGUCC
rnacentral:rRNA from 1 species